rnacentral:piRNA from 1 species
UUGAUGUAAUCUGAUCUCAGGGAUUGGUU